rnacentral:lncRNA from 1 species
CCUGAGCCAGCAUGGUGGCGAAUGAAGGGACGCCCGGCAGGUAAGUGAAGGGAUGAAUGUCUGUGUGAAUGAAUGUUCAAGUGAGCCGAUAGAGCUCCAAGUGUGCAACCUUGGCUACCCUAUCCAACAGAGAAGGGAGAGGGUGAUGUAGCGCUGUUUCGUGCGUAGUUAGCGACGCUGGCGGGGAGGGAAAUGUUUAGUGUGUGCGUGUGUGUCUGUGUGUGUGGCUCCAUACGCUGCCCGCAGUUAGUGAGGACGUCGCUCCGUCAUUCCCCUUAAACGUCUAAGUGGUGGUAAUAUUUCUAAUGUUAAAAUAGUAGCAGUAUUUCCACAUUCAUUGACAACAAUGGCUCAAGGGAUGCGACGGUGGGAUGGCCGUUUUGACCGUUAUGCUCUUGCAUAAAUAAUAAAUCAUUAUAUUUAAUGUAAUGAGAAAGUAUCUAGCGCCCUCACCUCUUGGUUACAGCAGGUGUGUGAUUCAAAGUUCAGACAUGAAUUUUUCAGUCAGAUAGUCACAGGGCUCUCAAGUUUUGAACUAAGCUUGGAGUGAGGGCAAGGGUGAGGAGUGAUUAAAGAUAAUGUAUUAGUAUACUAAUCUAAUAAAUACAACGGAGAAUAAGGGCCACAUUAAGAAAAAAAAAGAAGACUUCGAGACUUAAGUCAUUAUUCAUGAGAAUAAAGUCAUAACUAACGAGACUAAAGUCAUUAAUUUAUGAGAAUAAAGUAGUAAAGUUACCUGUUGUGGAGGAGAGUUGUUAAGAUCAGGGCUGCGGAGCAUUCUGAUGGAUUGUACUUUAGUAGAGGUUUCACAAACAUGGAGAUACUUAAUUCUUUGGUACAUCAGCAUUACAUUGUCAUGAGUAUCAGAACUUCAAAAAGAAUAUAUGAGAAAUGCAUUUUUCCACAGAAAAAAAAAAAAACAGGUGUACUUUGAGGGAAAUGGCUGUACGGAGGCUAUAUCUGUUAAUGUAGCUGUGAAUAGCAAUAGCAUAGGGCUUUAGUUUAUCAUAUGAGUCAAUAUGCCAUGAGGUGUUGAGGCCUCUGCAGGUGUAGGUUAUUAACUUACUGUAAUCAUCAGGUCUUUUUCGUCCUUAUGACACCUGUUUCAUUUUGGUGAGUGUCCGUCUUCAAAAUCUACCAGGAUACAGCGAUGCUACUUUUUGAAUACUUUAUUUGAUUGGCUUGCGUGUCACACGCAGCUUCUAAACUCUCGAGGGAACUCACUUGAUUCCUACCUUCUGUUGUUUAAGAGGUGCAACUUGGUGGACGUCACCGUGGUAAUUUAAAUGCGUGAGAAAUACAAUGUGUGGCGUGUGAACAGGUGGGAAUGCGUGCGUCACACGCCCAAUGCGUGACACUAUAGAGCCCUGUAGUCACUGAUACUGAGAUGUAAUGUUGGUAAGCAUUCAUGAUACCAGGUUAUUGUCAGGUCAUGAACAUAGCACUGUUUUUUAAAUCUGUGAUUGUUGUUGAAAAAAGGCAGAAAAACUCCCUAAAUAUAUCUCCAAUGGCUGCGAAUAGAGCACGCUGCUGUUUGUAAAGCUUUGAUUUUAUAAGAUGAGAGUCCUCUUUGGUUGAAUGAGUAAAUCCUCCCUGCCUUCAUAAGCAUCAUCAGACUGUGAAUGACGACAUUUUUACAGCGCUUGCAUGAUGUUCAUGUCUUUGACCGCGUUUGAUAAUUCAUACUCGGAAAGUAAACGUUAGUGACGUUGAUAACACGAUGACGACUGUUUGAAUCAAAGUACUUUUUCCGUCACAUAUUUCAUCAUUAAAGCUAUCUUAAAAUUCACGUCUUGAACCCAGCCUCAUGUUGUGUCAGGUCUCGUCCCGUCUCGUGAACCGAGUAAUCACAGUUCUGCUGCAUACACAAUAUAACUGAUGUAUGAACAUGGAGCCACUUCUGUGAAUAAUGCAGCACAAUGAGAAGUCAUCUUUUUUAAAAAGGUGCUUUUUCUGGAUUAAACUCCUGACCCCUUAUAAAAAGACUUUAUUUGUCAGACUCCUAAAUGAGUAAAUAAGUCAGAUUUUACAAGAGAAUAGAUGCAUAUUAGGAUAUUUAUCAUGUUUUCUACACCAUUAACAUGCUCGUUACACUCCUAAAUGUUAUGACACCAGACUUGUGAGCAUGUAUGUCAACACAGCCAGCACAUGAUUUGAAUAUGCAUCAAUAUGUAUAUGUUCCCAGAUGGUUUCGCCUGAGAGAGUGGAAAAUGGGUACAAAUACGCCUGCUUUUAGCCACCCACACUGGGCCGACUGCUGCGUCACACAGGCUGGGGUGUAAAAGCGAGUGAGAGCUGCUGUCAGGUUGUUCGCCUUCUGGCAUUUGAUGGUGGUCUGGUGUCGAAUUUGGGCAAGACCACCGCACACUGUUAUCCUGGAACUUAAUGUAAGAGCUCGAACAUUUGUCGUGAAAAAGUGUGGAGGAAAAGAAGACGGCGAGAUGGAGGGAGGCGCGUGGAGAUGAAGGAACAGCAGCACAACAUUAUUUAAUUGCAGUGUGGCUGAGUGAUUGUGAGCAGGUGCUGAAUUCUCCCUUCCUGUCGUACAGAGACAAGUGAGAUCUACAGCUCUCCUUCAGUGUGCAUUACUUUUACUCCUGAACCUUCUACUUUAGAUAAUCAGGAGAGUAUGAUUCAUUCAUCAACCCCCCAUGUCCUUCACAUUCAGUAUUAUGUAUCCCAAGCUCUUGCUGUGUAUUUUAGUAUCGAGUGACUCCAUCCAAGGUUUGAAAAUGGGUCUGCAGAAAGAGCGAGAAGUACAAGCUGUUCUUUCAGCGGGACCUUAUUCAGAGAAACAGAGCAUAAAUGCAUCCAAGGGCGGUAUUCUGAAGACUUCGUACUUGAAUCAAGUAAAAUGAAAGCCAGAAGAUGGGAUAUAUUUAUCAGAGGAUAGAGGCAGCGCAAGAAACCUUGAAUAGUUGUGUACAGUAUGUUCAUGUGUUUAAUAAAUCCUGCAGGUAUAAAUUCACAGUUUUUGACUUACAACAUGGCAAUGAAGUGACUGAAGAAAUCAAUACAUUUCUAUUUACUCCAGCCACGUACCUUUAGUGUGUAUUUUAUAUAAUUUAAUUAACACCACAGAGACUAAAGGUGUACAGUGUAUACAUUUAGACAAAAUGUGUGUAACGCUCUAUAGUGUAGCUACACACUGACGAGCACUUCACAAAAUACAGAGAUGUUCUGAAGUGCAUUCUACGCUCUACGUUAGACAACAAAUAUUGAUCAGCAUGUAUAACCCUACUAUGCCAAAUACUUAAUUCUGAUUGGCCAAAACGACAGGAAUAUUUCUGUUGAAGCUCUAUUUACCUUAGACUGAAGUUUACAGCCUAUUUUUGUCCCUGUUUAAGUUAUAGGGCAGCAGUAGCUCAGGAGGUAAAGAAGUCAGCCAAUAACCAGAAGGUUGGCGGUUUGAUUCAACCAUAUCCCUAGUCUGUCCCGAAAAGAUAUCAUAUUGUGGCAUAUCUGCACCGUCUCAAAUGUUUUCUGUGUAUUUCCCAUAUAACACACGUGUAAGUUCAAAUAAACGAUUGUGUGAAUAAAUUUGCACCAGUCUACAAAUGAUAAUUUGGCACAUACAGUAUAUGCCCUUUAUGCAAUAUAGGUGCAGCAAAUAUAAGACAUUUUCAAACUUUUUGUUUUAUGCUAGCCAACUGUAUGCUUUAAUGAUUGUCUGGACCCCCCAGAUAAUCGGCAGAGCUGGUGGCUCAUGUUGCUCCAGGAUUGUGUCUAGACGUUUUUUUACUUCGGUGACACAAUUGGAGCACUGUAGACAAGGUGGGCCAGUGUAUGUGUUCAUACCAUUGAUUGUAUUUUCUAUUGACAACGUGGCUCCGCCUCCAAUCAUUGUACAAAUUUGAAGCCAUUUUGCUCUCAGUAUUUUUUUAUUCCCCCGUUUCCUGGAACUGCUAUUUGCGCAAUAGCGUUCGGCGUAAAGUCGCGAUGAUGACACUCUGCUCAAACAGAUCUACUCAAUCUUUGUAUGUCCAUAGACUUAAACACAAACCAGUUUACAAUAACUACGUCAACAUUGAGACUAGGGGAAAUAAAAUUACAUUUUUUUCUAUAUAUUUCCAUGUGAUUAAUUUCUAAAAGUUUGUCAACAGUUUCAUAAAUUUUGCUGGAGGAGGCGGAGUUUAUGACCUAUACUGCAGCCCGUCACCAGGGGGUGCUGUUCUCACAGAGGCUUCACCCAGCUAAGAGGCAGAUGACAUCAAUUCUAUAUACAGUCUAUGGUUCCUACACAUAUAUGAUCCACAUUUAUCCUUCCUGUCUUCUCUAUCUGCUUUAUUAUCGUUGCCAUGCCAGUAUUUUAAAUGUUUACUAUUUUCAUCGCCUUAAACUUUCGAGUGGCAGCUGAGUCAGCCAAUCAGAUUUAAAGGGGGUCAGUGACCACUCGAGAUGCCACUCUGGACACACCCCUGUGUCACAGCUUUGUGAUUAGUCCUGCACAUGCAUUUACAUGAACAAGAUGUCCAACAUGUGAGGUGUGUAUUAUUUGUAUUUUAUGUUUGAAUGUGAUUCAUUCCUGGUAUUUGUGAUUAUUAAAGUGAAACUCCUCCACAAGGUGAGUCCUCUGAUGCAGAGGUUAUUUCUCCCAUAGUUACAGCUUCUCAAACUGCAGGUGGGAUGAGAGGGAACAGGUAGCAGGAGGGAAGGAGGGGGUUGUUGUUCAGGUCAAUUGGCCUUGAAAUAGUGGCAGGCUUUCACCUGAGAGUGAGAGCAGGCUCCUUUCCCCCUCAAAAUAUUCAUGAAGCAAUUAUAAUUCAUUUGAUUAACAGGGAGGAACGCAGAGACACUGUGAUGAGCACUGUAAUUAUGGGAUUUGUGCAAUGUUUGAGAGAUAAGGGUGUUUGUUUUUUCCUUUGUGUCUAUGCAUGUGGGGAUGUGUGAGUUUGUGUGCAUGUGUGCAUGCUCGGACAUGCAUGAAAAUUGCAAUUGACAUGGUGGGGAAGGGAAAAGCUGGAUAUCCUUGAGUUCUUGCCCCCAAAGAACCUGUUGGUUAUACAUAUUAAUGAGUCAGAUCUGAAGCAGGUCUGCAACCAACUACAACAGUCCAUUUCCAUCGUGAUGAUCUGCAAUCUGUUUAUUGGUCGUAACUAAGACUCUGUCGUCCUUAUCGAAGAAAGAUUGAUAAGAGUACAGGAAGUAAACGUGUGUUUCUUAGAUACAGAUAGUGUUUUUGCUCCUGUCCAAAUCUCAGCUGUUGGCUCAGAUGAUACUGCUGUUAAAUGAGGGGAAGGAUAUACACACCUUCUGUCUAUCUCCUUCCACCCACUGACUUUCCUCCUUGAUGCACACAUCUUUCUAUAUGGAGACACUGUGUUGUUGUUGUUUUUGUCUCUCUGCCUGAAAGCUCUUUCUUUGCUUCAUAGAUAGAUGAACAUGAGUGCUUUAGGUCAUCAAAUACAGUCUGCUGCUCCUGCUGAGACUGAAGAGUGUGUGAACGGGUGUUAGAGUGUUUCCUUGCAGUGUACAAAUAAAAGGUGCAUGUGUGUGUGUGUGUGCAUGAGCGUGCUUGUCCGUGUGUCUGUGUGCAUUGACACAUAGGAGUUUUGCAAUCCAUCAUAGCACUGAAGGUUGCUAUAGAAACACCUUUCCUCAGAUACGCGGUUGCUGACACUGGGCUGCAUUUAAUCCAUACUGGAAUAUGUUUGGGACUUUUGAAAGGGCACUUUAACUUUUUGCUGGUUCUCCAUUGAUGUGCUGCUGAGACGCUCAAUAGAGGGACUUUAUGGAGGCACAAGGUGGUCAAGAGGGUGUGUCCUUGUGCAGCUUUAAUAUUUUCCCAUCAGGAACUGCUUCAUUACAUUUCAACGUUCUUCAUGUGCCUUCAAAAAGAUUUUUUAAAUCUCACCAGAUCAAAAUAUAUCAUUUCUUUGAAUUAUAUUGUUUAACCAUUUAGGGUGCCACUUGCCAUAGGCCUCAGAGAGAGAUCCAGAGAGAUCCCGGGGGCGCCUCAAAUAUACAGGGCUGACUCUUUCUGUUUUGUAUGCAACCAGCAGAAUGUCUAACAGAGGUAAAACACUCCAGGUAAAUACCUGAUCCACAUCAUGCCAGUUCUUUAACUCAUGUUGCCUUAUGAUGAUGUAACUCAGAUCUGUAAACACUAAGGCUAAUAAAAUCUCUAUUCAAGUGGACCUCCCAUUCUUUCAGAAUGGUAGAGGUUUUAUGUAUCAUAUCCAAAUUGUUGGUAUGACAUUGUGUAAUAGUAUGGUAAAAUAAGGUAUUGUUAUGUGUGGCAUGGUGUGAAAUAGAGUCCCAUGAUAUGAAAUUCAAUUUUACUGUAUUGUAUCAUAUCGCAUUUAUUUUAUUCUAUUGUAUCGUGUCGUACCAUACCAUAUCUUAUUGUAUCUAAUCAUACUGUACCUUACUGUACCAUAUUGUAUCAUACUGUUUCAGGUUGUUUUAAAUCAAAUUGUAUUGUAUCUGAUCGUAUUUAUUCAUACUAUAUCGUAUCAUAUUGUAUCUACUGUAUUGUAUCAUGUCGUAUCGUAUUAUAUUGAAUUGUAUCAUACCAUAUCACAUUGUAUCCUACCGUAUCGUAUCAUAUCAUAUUGUAUCGUAUUAUACUGUAUCAUAUCGUAAUGUAUCGUAUUGUAUUGUACUGUAUCGUAUCAUACUGUAUCGUAUCAUACCGUAUCAUAUCAUAUUGUAUUGUAUCGUAUCGUAUUAUAUCGUAUUGUACUGCAUCAUAUCAUAUCAUACCGUAUUAAUUCUAUCGUAUCGUAUCAUGCCGUAUCAUAUGGAAUUGUAUCAUACUGUAUUGUAUUGGAUGGUAUUGUACCGUAUCAUAUCGUAUUGCAUUGAUCGUAUCAUAUUAUAUCGUAUCACACAGUAUUAAUCAUAUUGUAUCAUCUCGUAUCCUAUCAUCUCAUAUCCUAUCAUAUCAAAUUGUAUCAUAUCGUAUUGUAUCAUACAGUAUUGUAUCGUAUCAUAUCAUAUUGCAUUGAUCGUAUCAUAUUAUAUUGUAUCGUACUGUAUCGUAUCAUAUCAAAUUGUAUCAUAUCAUAUCGUAUUAUAUCGUACCGUAUCGUAUUGUAUCGCAUCAUAUCAUAUUGUAUCGUAUUGUAUCGUACGGUAGCAUACUAAGUACAUUGUAUCUUAUUGUGUUGAUAGUAUGUACAAUAUCUAUACCAUUUUUUUAACACUGAUAAACAACUUAUUAAGAAAUAAAGUUGGAAAAUUUUCAGAAAACCUAUAAUACAAACGAGAAACUACUUUCUUCAUGCAACUUUGGCUGAAAUCAGUGCUCUGUUUGUCCAGUGAGUGUAUCUCUGUGUAUCUGAAUCAGAAAAUCACUCUUUUGCAUCUUUGUACUUCGCCAAUAAAGCCUCUUAAUCCUGUUAUUUUUGUUUUUCUCUCUUUCUGUUUAAAAAAAAAACACUUCAAAAUAAAUUUGGAUAGAAAUGAAUUUAAAUUGCAUGUUAUUAAAAAUGUUUCCUCUCAAACUUGUGUCCCCCCAGUCUCCAAGCAACAUGAGCCAACACUCCGACUCCGUUCACUUCUACCAGACUUCAUCUGUUGUCCCGGCGGCUCCAUGGGAACAGGUAAUCAAGUUUUGUGAGCUAUUGUCUUGGAAAGGCAGCAACCUGCCUGGUAAUUUGAAAUGAGUGAGUGUGAUGCGGAAAGACUGUUGUGAGAUUUUUGCUUGGAUGAGAGAGAGACAGAAGGAGAGACAGGAAGGCAGGUUUAUCAAGUGUGUGUGUCUGUGUGUGUGUGAUCCAGCCAGAUUGUCAGGAAGAGAGAUGCUGGCAUGGACAGUGCCAGUGGAAGCUCGCUGUCCCCCAGGAUUCCUCUGCAGUGAUGGCUAUUGGUGUCUGUCUUCCCCUGGGGACAGCUGCUCUGUCAUCUCUCACACACUAAAACACACACACAGACACAGACACACAAUCCACAGACACAGCUCUCUGCCUCCCAGGUAUUCAUCUGUGUUUUUUGGGAUAUACCCACGAUCCUUCACAGCUGCAAACGUGUUCCCUGUCUGAGUUUUCGGUGAGAUGUGCACACACUAACACACGAACAGUAGCUCAAGACAUUUCUACACUUCAGCAUCCAUUAUUGCCCGGCACAAUGACAACAAGGUCAUGCCUCCAGGCGUUCUGCAUUUUGUCAAGACUGACACCAGCGUGCUGCCGUUGCCGUCGCCGCUCUCCGGGAUUUAUGCAUCUCUCUCAGGUUGUUCAUUUCUUGACAUUUUCAGCUCAGCAGGUGGUGAGAAAUCUCUGAGCAGCAAACACUGUUUGAAACGCGUGACAUCGGUUCAUGGUUUCACACGUGUUGGAAAAAGCAAGAAAAGUCUACAAAAACCUAUAUUUUAUUCAUUCCUAUAGGAUGGUGAUAAAAGUAGGUGAGAAGUAACCUGUUGCCAUGGAAGCGCUACAACUGUUGAAUCAGAAGGACUUCAUUUUUAAAAUACUGUUAUCAAGAAUCAGAACAUCAUAACAGCUUGUUUGUAUCUUUAGCUUGUCAUUGGUUGAUAAGUAGUAUAAUCUAGUGAGCGGCGACUAAGCCUGUUAGCAUUCUAUUUUGCUCAACCACCCACUCACUAUACAUUAUCCCUUACUUAUAAUAGCUGCCUUUGGAUAAAUCGUUCACUUAACACUCAUUACUGCAAUAAUAACAGCUUGAAAAUGACAGAUCAUUACAGAUGGACUAAUACGCUCAUUUACACCUGUCAUCAUGUCAGAACGAUGCACCUACAGAGUAGCUUUGCAUAACCUGUUUGUCUUUUAUGACCGUUGAUGAUGAAAACCCUCAUUUUGCCCCGCCUAGCCUCCGCCUGAAACAGUUUGCUUUUCCAGUGAUGGGUGUUAACGGCAAUUUCCACAGCAUCCGGAACAGCUACGAAAAGGCCGUAUGCGCCGAUUGUAGCUGAUCGUAACCAUUCAAUUUGAUGUGUCAAUUUCCACCGGCUUCUUUCCGCUUCACUGCGGAUCGCCGGACUCUGCAGCUGAUAGAAUAGAAUAGAAUAGAAUAGAAUAUUCCUUUAUUGAUCCCCCAUGGGAUAUUUUUUUUUUUUUUGCCACAGCAACAACACAGACAAAGAAAGUGCAAAAAUGCAGUUAUAAAAAUAAAGAUCAUAAUAUUAAGAACUUAUUGAAAUUAAGAAAAAAUUUAGAAAAGGAAAAAGAGAGAAGAAAAUAAAACUAUACACAAUAUAUCGAUCGCAAGAGUUCUAUUUUUUCUGGACGCUGGAGCAUGCCGGAUAAAUUCAGCACAGAUUAACCCGUGCUGGAAAGGAAGUCGGGCACAGACACAAAAUAAAAGGCGAAUCGUAUGCAAACGGACGAGGACGAACAAGUGAAAGGUUUUUAGACAGCAUUUCAUCCCGAUGACACCAUGGAUGAGAGGAUACCAUCUUAAACUCAACGAUCAAGAUGACAGGAGCACACUGUGACUCUGCUGUGACUCCUGUAAAAUGGCUAGAUUUACUCGACUUUCAGUUUUUAGUCUGGGACUGUGAAAAUCAUUUGGUGGAAGCCCUGCAUAAGAUGCAAAUCCAGCUCUUUCUGGCUUUUCUUAAUGAAGGAGCCAUCAGUGAUGCGGGGAGCCCAAACAGCAACCAUGUGGCUGUUGUUGUUUUUAAGAAGAGAGUCUAACUUUGACUUUUGACAUCCAAAAUAACACUAAUGAGCAACAACAAAGCUCAUAGUUAGAGCUUGCUCAGGACUGGGCCAGCUGCUAAGGGUUUGGACUGCCGGGGGUCCUGGCACAUUGAGCACCUUCCCCUCCUUCUCCAUCGUCUUUCUGUCCAUGUUAUGAUCUUUGACUCAUCAUAUACAGUCUUUUCUGGGAGUCAUUGUGCUGUUUAAGUAUCGUUAUGUGUAUUCAUAUAAGAACAGGCCAGUUUGAUGGGUCUCUUCUACUUGAUUUUAAAGGUAUAAGAAGCAUUAACAACCAUUCUCCAAAUUUAAGGACACGCUGUUGUAGAAAAUGAGAACUAAGUUUCAACGACUCUUUUUCUAAUUAGCUAGUCAUAACAUUUUCCCCAUUAAUGGCUCAUCAAUGAUCUAUAAAGCAUCCAAAUUAGCUUUAACCAUUUAUGAAAACAUCAUUUGCAACUUUAGAGGGUUUAAAUUAGUCUAAUGGUUCUACAAGAUAAACACCAGAGAAACAAAUAUUCGAUACAAUAUGACGGAUAUUUCCACGCUCAUUAAGGUCCUUGGUGUAAAGAAGUCAAUACCGAACUCCGAACAGCUCAUCUGCAGAAAGACACUGGUUCCAGAAAAAGUGCUAAUUAAUGGUAAAAAUAUUCUAUCAUUAACCAUCACACUCUGAGCGAUGUACGUGAGGAGAGUGAAAUAAAUGACAGCUGGCGAGAGCGCUCAGCAGAGGGAUUUGGCAACUGUGGAGUGUCUUCCUCCUUCCCACAGCGAUCCGUCCGGCUGAGACCCACAAACACAAAGAGCUGUGUUUUUGGAUCGGGGCUCUGCUUAUUACUGAGGCACAGAGAGGGAGAGGGGGGAGAGAGAGCUUACAGGGGGGGGAGAGAGAAGGGAGAGAUUGGGGGCAAAGAGAAAGCCAGGAAAGGACGAGUGCCAGCUCUGCCUCCAGUGUCCAUCUCAGAUCCCUCCAUCCUGUGGCUCCCUCCUCCUCCUCCUCCUCAGCAGCUGGCCGUUUUUUUUUUUUACCCCAGCAGAGAGGGAGCUCUGUGAUGGUGCAGACUGAGAAAUCAGUGUGUGCUCCCGCUAAGAACAGAGUCUCUCUAAACUCUCCUGAAUUCACACCCGAUAUCUCCUCCAACAUCGUCCUCUCUGGCCUUCCAUGGCUCCUUUCUUUUCAUCCUCUAACUCCUCUCCAUACCCGCCCUCCUCUCCUGAAUCUCCUUAUCCUCUCUUCCUUGUAAUUUUCCCCCUUGCCUCCCUCUCUCCCUCCCUUCACUCCAGCUGUCACUCUUGUCUCCGGUCUCUUUGGACCGGCCUUCCAGUCCGGUUUUAAUUGACUCGGAGUGACAUGCAGCUGGGACGAUAGAAGUGGUCCUCCUGGGGAGGUCGAUAUGUACAGAUAUGGAGCGUCUCCAUCACUGACUGGACUCUACAGAGUCAACAGAGGCUGGCUGCAGGGCGUGAGGAGCAAGAGAGACUUUCUCAUCUUUUCCAAGUCUUAUAGCAGAAACGAGGUCAUGUGCAUCAUGUGGCGUGCUUUGAUGUUUCAGAGCAACACACAUGUAAUUCAAAACAAGAUUUAAAUAAGAUAUAGCUUUAACCUUUGACUUUGUCAAGACUGUAGGCCAAACAAAAGCAUCUAUGUACAUUUUUCCACUCUGAGUUAUGGCGACUCAGAGGUAGAGAGGCAGGAUUCUGUUUAAGAAGCAUCUUUUUUGUGGUGUAUCAACAAAAAAAGCUUUUAAUACCAGUCAACAGCUAUUGAGCGGCAUCCCGCUCCUUCUGAUUGUAAACACAGCCAUUCUCCGCCUCACCCAACCUGAUUGGUUGUGAGGCAGACGCUUCUCCUUCAUGUUGUGAGGCACGCUCCAUGUUUUCCAAUAAUGUGCAUGAGCCCAAACAAAGUUAACGUGUUACAACAUCGGACAGUAGAAACCAACCAGAAAGAACGGAAAACACAAGCAAGAAAACAAAGUAAAUAGCGGAGACUCUGGUGGAAUAACGGGUGCUUUAAAACUGAGGUACACCGGACAAGAGCUAAAAAGCUGGGUCAACAUCAAUGAAGCAUAAACGAUGGGGGACGAUUCAGGAUCUUACGGACCCUGUAACUUUCUGCUGGACAGGUAAACCGCUUUAACAAAGUAAGCCAAGUGUCUGUAACAGAAGUGUUUCUUGUCAAACGGGACCUGCUGCGUGUUGUAGCACCGCUAAACUGUUGACCUCGGGUCCUGGACUAUGUCACUUUAUCCUGGUUGUAGGAUAGUCCUGCAAACAUUGUGUUUGCUGGUAGUCUGUUGAGUAGCACCAAUGCUGUUUACUUUCACAUUGACUGGGCCCCAUUUGUAAUCAUCUGAAGUAUUUAUCUGCUUUAUAUCUGACUUUAAUUGAAACGAUACAAGCCAGCAGAAGCUUCUGUUUGUGGGCGGGGCUUGCUGGAGCAGAGAAGGAGGGGAGAGGAGGAGCUGAGGGGAAAACUGGUUGGGAGGGGUAGAGUUUACAUUCAAGAUUUCUCCCAGAAACUGGCACUUCCUCAGAUCCUGCCUACCCCACCUUUAAUACGCACCCGGUUAUUUUUAAAAACUGAGACAUUAACCAGUGUUUGCAGCCUUCGUUUAGACGCAAAAAGACGAUUUGGUGCUUUUUAAAAACUUUGGCCGGAGUGAAGACUUUGGAAAACUUAGUGUUCACGUCUGCAUGUAAACAGAAAAAACUGAGAUUUGGGUAGCUGACGGCAGAUUGUGCGUGGGGAACUUGGGUAAAAUGCAACGUUGUUUACAAUCUUCAGUCUAUGUUUAGAAUCUACGGUGAUCAUGGAUGCAUGCAGAAUAGCAAUCGCAUUUAUGCUGGUGCAAAUACGAGUGCUGCACCAUGUGGAGGAGCAGAGACGGGAUGUGGGAUUCUGAUUGGCUAACAUGGGUUUAAACGUCUUGCUACACUGCCACCUACAGGUUUGGUGUGCUCUUGACAGCAUAUAUACACGGGUUAGUGUAAACAAAAACUUUUCUAAAAAUGUAGUGGUGUACAUGCAGUGUUUUUGUAAACGGAGAGGGUGAAAUGUCCGUUUAUGAAAAUAGCGGGGCACGUGUAAAUGUAGUUAGAGAUGCACAUGGAUUUUCAAAUAAAAACCAACAGCUGAUACGAAUAUUUCUGAUAUUUUAAUGCAUUUGUGUGCUUUAAAACGUUGAAUUUGUGACCUCUGAGAGACUGAGAUUUAAUGAGCAAAGCUGCAUGUGUGUCAAUGCUCUAUACCUUAACAGAGAGCAUGAAAAAAAAAGAUCAGUCUGGACUCCUGAGUUUACUUUUAUUCAUUUUUAACCUUGAACACAGACAGCAUGAAAUGUUAAGUUUUCGCUCUCAUCCAGCCGUCAAAGGGACCCGUACAGGGCCUUGAGGCUGAGGAUACUCACAUCAGGAGGUCAAAGCAGUGAAACGUAUCUUACUGAUGUUGUUGUUGAUCAGAUUAUGAAUAUGUGGAUGAAUGUCGCAGGAACUUUUCCUACGAGGUUUGAACUUUCAGGUGAAAUAGAGUUCAUGCAGCACUUUUCAAACUGGACAUCUAUUUCUGAUCAGCUUGAUGUGACCGGUACAUGACAGCAGAAAAUAUUGACUGGAGAAAUAACUGAUCGUGAAUUUUUUUCUUCUAUUUAUCUGUGAUAUUAGACGAUAUUUUUUAACAUAGUGAGUGAAAACAUAGAUGGAUAUGAAAACUGGAGUCAUCUUCUAACAGUUAUGCUCAAUAUUUGUGUUGAAUAUUCAUGUCAGACAUCUUUAAUCCGACUUUUGAAAAAACUGACAAUCAUUUCAGAGUUCUCCUGGAAGUUUCACUGGAGUCUAGCAUCCAGUCAGUGAGUGAUAUUCGAUAAGGAGGCGUGUCUGUCUCUCCUCUGAUUUCUCUCCUCUUUCCUCUCUUUUCAGAGACGACUUAAGGACUUUGCAAACUUACGGUUUGGACAAGGACAGAGGACAGAGGAGACUGCAGGUAAGAGCUUUGAGAUCCAGAUCCUUUUCUCUUUUUUGGGGUCAUUAUAGGGCAAAUAUACAGGCCAGGAGUCGAAUGAGCGACCAUUGCGACAAGGCCUACAGCCUCUAAACAUGUGGCGCAUAAACUGCCGGGCUCUCAGCUCCUCAGAUCUAAAACUUCUUUAAAUAUUUACCUAAAAUAAACAUCCAAACUGGUGAAAUUUCAACAAAAUCAAAGUGAAUGAUCUGUUUUAAACUGAUGUCAAAUAAACCCUGUGAAGAAUGUUUUGUGCACAUGUCGCCUUCACAGAUUUUAGAGCCAUUUUUUUGGAUAACCCGCUCAUUUUUAGAUGAAUUUCUUCCGAAUUUUUGUAAAGUUUUGAUUAAUUUUUUUCAUGUGGAACAAAAACAAGACAAAAGAGGAUAUGUACGAUGUUAACCUGCUGUUUCUCUAGUUCAUCUCCUCGUCGGUAUGAAAUAUUUUACUCUGAAUGACAGCAUCUAUCCAGGGAGUUCUCUCUACAUGUGACAUCAGUGAGACAUUGUCUCAAAGCGGUGAAACCGGCGUCUGUACAUGCGGGGGUUAAUAAGGUUUAAUUACCUGUGUCUGGAAGCAGGUCUUCAGGAUUUUUACUCGAGUAAACAUUGCUCUCACUCCUUUUCACUUGCGAUACAUUUUUUAUUCUGGAGCUCUCACACGAGAAGCCGCACCGACCUCGACACACCACGCGGUUAAAUAAUGCAUCGAGAGGUACUCAUACAUCGAACAUCUCCAGAGAGCGGAGUAGGCCAAGAGUUAAUCUCCCAUAGGUCUGCUAAUUAAAAAUUUAAUUUAAAAGAAAUGGGAGUGAGAAUUAAAUAAAGAUGCCGACAGUGUGUGUCCGGGACAUGUGCAAACUUGAGAGUGCAUAUUACAUAUACAUUUGGAUACCGGCUUAAUGUGAUGAUGGUUUUUGAAUAUUUAAAUAAAUCAAAAGUUAAAGCAGGCUGCACCGAAAUAUUUAUAUUACAUUUUUCAUUGAAUCAAUACUGAAAUAUGUAAACACGGCUCGUUUGAUGCCGUUUUACUAACUUGCUGUAAACUGUGAUCAGAAAAGACUGUUGAUCAAGCAUCAGCCUGAACAAUGGAGCUGUAAUUUUCACAUUUAUAAGGAGCGCUGGACUGCAAAGGAGUUGUGGUAGGUUUUGACAUAACACAUAACUAAAAGAAUGGCAAUAAGAAAAAAAACAGGCAAACAGGCAACAAUAAAACAGGCUUAAAAAAAUAAAACAGGUGGUAAGGAAAGUGCAGUGAGUCAUUGCACAUUUAAAUAUUACCCAUCAUUUCUACUAUCAACCUUCAUUGGGCAGUCUAAUGGCCGGUGGGAAAAAGCUUCUCCGCAGCCUGCUCGUGCAAUGACACCACAAAAAGUCGCUAGAUUUGUCGCUUUUUUGAAAUUAGUCGCGAGAGGGGUCUGAAAACUGGCUAAAUAUAGUGACAAAGUUGCUAAGUUGUCAACACUGAAGACAGGGGCUAUAUGGACACACUAGGGCCUAAUCCCAAACCGUCCUCUACACAUUUCCCCUCCGUUUGUGCGUCCCCGCAGAGGCUCCGCCAUAUUGAAGGCCAUCCCAAACCACAGAGUCUGCUCCGGGGUUUGCAGGUUGUGCGCCGGCAAAAAUGGAGGAGGAGGAAACAACAUACAAAUGUAAAGUUCUGUAUGUGUCCACCUUUGUCUGCAGAAAAUGUAAAAAAACAAACUGUUUCUGUAACUUACUUUGUCUGACGCCUACUUUGGGCAUGAAAAAUAACUUAAUAGAAAUCAUUAACUUUGUAAUAGUUUGUGUGUCCUUUAAAGUCAAACAGAGGCAUCAGUGUUGAUUUCACUCUUACCUGCAGCAUCUCUGGAAUUUAAAGAAAAAAAAUCAUGUUAUUGUAAUUAUUAUUACCGAUUUUUUUUCUUUUUUGAAUUAGCAUUGUUGGCAUUUUGUUGUCACAGAGUUCAUAAUAUGUGUUUGACAAGAGGACGGUGAGAGUUGGUUUACAAACUCCAGGAGAAAAUAUCGAUCCUCUCUCAAACAACUGCUGUGGAUGUCUCUCAGCCUCCUGAAACAUCCAGAGAGAGUUGAAAAGUUAAUAUUAAAAGGAAGAGUGGAGUGAAAUGUGUUGCUAAAAGGCACUCUGCUUCAAAGAACCCGUCAACAGGCGGAGGUGAGCCAGACAUCCAACAAUUUGUUGUAACAACGUUGGCCUUGUGCUAAAGCAGAAUGUCAGUCCUCUCACUGCGCCCAGCAGGUGCAAGCCCCUGAAUGGAUGACCGCGCAAAAUGGUGGAAGGCAAAAAAAUCAGAGGCUACCACAAGGUCACGGACCAUGUGACCUCUGCUGUACUGUUCCCAACAGAGUCCUCUGAGAGCAGUCAGUAUUUAAAGGCAACAAUGCAUCCGUGAUGGGAAAACAUCAGGGGGUGGUGGACAGCUGCAGUCAAACCCACAAACGCCUGUGCAAAGUUUGGACGUCUGAUCACUGCUCGUCUGGUCUGGCUCAGCUGGACGCUUUGCUCUCUACGCUCCAAAAUUGACUUUAACUAAAUCUGGUGAUGAAGCACAACCACCUCUCACACUGUUUGUGUAUUUGACUGACAAACAAACAGAGUGAAGUGAGUUAAUCUGGAUUUAUCCCUCUCAACAGGGACAUUUCAGUUCAACUUUAGGCUAGCAAGUGAUUUUAAAAAACUACUGGAAAUACAGUACAAUAAACAGUCAAGUUCCACAGAGCAAUGUUUAACCCUCACAUACUGUUCAAAUCCUGUACCCUCAAAGUAUGUUCCAGGUCAAAAUUGCUCCUUCAAAGAGUUCAAAGAGCAGCUUUCUGUCACAGAAAGUUCUCUUGACUAGUUAGGUCAUUUUGACCUCUGUCUAGGUGUGUCUGUGUGCGUGUGUGUGUGUGUGUGUGUGUGUUUCUGUCAAGGUAAUGAUAGUUUCAUAAUGAUUUGAAUAUAUCUUUUUGAACAACAAACCUUAUAUUGAACACUGUUGUUACUGUUUGUCACUUGUUCCACACUGCUAGAUCUAAAAUCCAUCUAAAUAUAGAUACGGGUCAAAUCUGACCCAUAACAGCCUUAGAGGGGAAAAAUUUGUAGCACAUAAACAAAAAUACACAUGAAUAUUUUUUAAUUAAUUUCAUGUAUUUUGGGCAACUUCAGGAAAAGUCAUCAAGUUUCAGGCUUAAAAAAUGAUGUUUGGGGUAUUUUUACUGCUGUUAAAAGUCAAAACGGGUCAAAUUUGACCCGAACAGUAUGUGAGGGUUAAAAUACAAUAAGAUCCACAAGUGUGAGACACAAGAUAAGAAAUAAAACACUCCUGAAGCUCCAGUUCCGCACAGGCCACAUAUGAUCAUCAGCCCACUUCCUGGCAUUUAAAAGCCUGAUGGCAUCAUUUUCUGGCCUGGAGUAAAAGCUAUACUAACAAUUUCUUUAACCGACUCAUAUUUACAGUAUCAACAAUCAAAAGUGCCCAAAUGUAAUUGUUGAAAACCUUUAUUCUGUUGUUGAACAUAAAGGCUUUCAUACUUCAGUUCACAUGGACUUAUUCUGUCCUGAGCUGUUGUUGCUCACUUACAUUAUUUCCUUAUUUUUGUGGUUUUUAUUUUUACACACGGUUCCUGCACUCUAGGGUAGAUAGCUGUCUGUCUGAAUGCUGAGGUGCAGGGUUGGUAGCCUAUUUCCUUCACACCUGAAGGGGUUUUUGUACUUUGCUCUCCUUUCUUGGCUUCAGUCUUGAGGAGAUCACGCUGUUGCCCCUUGGCUUUAAAAAUGACCCGAGGAGAAAAAAACCUUCAGGAUCAGUGAACUCACUUCAGACUCACUUUGAGAAACUUUUGUGUGUGUGUGGUCUUUCUCUUUACUGUCUUUCUUCCUCACUUAACUCUAUGUUUGCAUUUUUUCUUCUUCUUAUUGCUAGCUUUGUUCACAUUUCUGUCCUUUAUCUCUGUCUUUAUAUGGACCAUAACUUUCUGUUCCCUACUGUGUCUGUGAUACGCUCAGUCAAAACACUUAUUUCUAAAUGUGUUAUAUGAAUAAAGGCAUAACUGUUACCAUAGCUUCUGUACUUGAACAGUGAGGAUUUCCAGAGAGGUUAAACUGGAAUUCAAUUAACAAAGUUUGAUGAUAUUAAACUUACUCUUUGCCCCUGUGAGGAAACCAGUUAUAGCAGGGAUUCAAUUAAAGUGAAGCAUUAUUUUCAUUUUAAAUUCUCGUGUUAUUGUGCACAAAACGCCGAAGCAAAACCAUUUACUAACAGGCCCCACCAACGGCUUUCUAAUCAGCCAACACAAAUGGCACUAAGCACCCUGGACAGCUCCAGAAUCAGCUCCAGGAUCAGGACCAUGGACAGCGCUCGUGAGGACGUUUGGCUGCAAAGAGAUUUUGUUUUUGUGUAUUUAAAGGGAACAGACUGGUUUCUACAGUGGAUACUUUUGCAUAAACAAUCUGUACCCUAAACUUUCAAAAGACUGAUAUUUUAAAGGGUUCCAAGUUUUACUAGUCGCUAUCACCAGCUGACAGGGAAUUAAUGUGGACUCAAGCUGUUUCUUUCCAAAGAAAAGGCCCAUAAAGAUAUUCUAUAAGUGCUAAUAUAAAGUAUAAGCAUGGUUUGAAGCUUAAUUUAUUCAAAUGUUUUUAUAAACAUGCACAUUUGUGGUAUAAUUCUCUCCUGCAGUCAACCGUUUCUGAAAAUAAUCCCAUGCAGCAGGCGGCUGAAUCAUGCCCGAGGAAGAGUGCAGAGCACCAAACGCCAUAUAUACUCUAUCUGCAAGUCAGAUUACUGACACCCUCAUGUUCAUCCGUGUGUGUGCACCUCUUUUUAUAAAAGUACACUCAGAGCAUCAUGACACUUCUCUCCUCCUGAGGAUCCAUCUUAAAGACAUCUUUUUAAAGUGUGUUUGUAUUACCCGCAGUUACAUCUCGGCUGCAGAAGACGGUGUCUGCUCUAGCAGGUAUUUUAGCUCAUGUUGACAGAGCUUGUUCAGAGCUUUACUUUGCUGUCAGAAAUCCACUUUGUUUCCGUACUAUUCUCUGAUACAGUAUGUGUUAGUCUGCCUGCAGUGCAAUCAUUUAUUUACAUCUUCAGGCUUCCUUAUGGACACAAAUCCCCAACCUUCCUUUUUAUAUACAGAGCAUAAAGAAGACGAUUAACUUAGCUGAGGGAGAAACUUACAGGAGAUCCCAAGUUAACUGGAGACAUGUAAAAAACUGUAAAUCAAAGGAUACCAGCAGCUCCCAUGCAGCUGCAGUCGACAUCACCCCCCCACUCAGAGUCCCUUACCUCACUGAAAGCUGCUGUUUUACAGACUGUCUCAAGUCUUCAGGAAACUGGAGACUGAAGGAUGAAAAAAUUCUUUGAUGGACUGGAACUGGUGGAGGUGUAGGAUGGAUUGCAGCAUCAUGACCAGUGGCAGAUUUAGGGGGUGGCUACUUGGGCUCAAGCCCCGGAUGUUCUCUCAAGAGCCCCGGAUUUCGGAUCUGAGCUGGUCUGAGUUUAAUGUGCAGUACUUGAAUUCACCAGAGAGUGGCAGCAUGCGCAGGAAAGCAGCCUGUAGCCUUCCUGUUCAGAUGAAGAAGUGUUUCCCUCAAGUGGCUGUUACUACGCCUCUAUUCUACUGCCAGCAUCUGACGACGAGUCAAGCAGCUCCACGGCGAAUUUUAAAAGGAAAAAAAAUGAUAUCCGAAGCUUUUUUUGAGAUUAAAGGAUUGGAGAACAGAGCAGUAAAGGACAGCAGAGGUACCAGCCAGGAUCACAGGUAUAGCAGUAAGGAAAUAAGAGGCAUUUUAUUGUACUUUAUUUCACAUCUUUAGUUUAUAAUCAGUCUGAAUAAAUUUUUUGUUUUAUGUUUUCUUUUUUCAGGGGAAAUGAGACACAUGUUCAUGACAUAAGACAGUGACUUCACCAAGGCUGGUGGUAGGACAUUUGCAUCAUUAGAGGGUCUGAAGUUUUUAGUGUUCUCCUCCGUGUCUUUUGUCGGCUUUGAAUUGGUGGUAAGUUGAAGUUUUGUGUGCGUGGCAGCAAAAAAAGACAGAUAAAAAAAAAUGUCAUCUGCACCCUUAGGGCUGAGCCCCUGAUCUCCUAGAAUCCUAGGUUCGCCCCUGAUCAUGACUGGUCAUAACAAGCUGGUUUGUAGAUACUUUCAAGAGUAAACACUGACGAUUGGGUGACAAGGGCAGCAGGAAGAGAUGGACGGAUGUGUAAAAACAUCAAAAUGUAUAAUACAACAGUGUUCUGGGGAAAGGUCAAGUUCGUCAUUGUGCUGCAGGCGGAAAAAAUAAACAAGCGACAGAUCAGGGAAUAGCUUCAUCUGUGAUUCUCCACCUGGUUUUUUAAACAAAAGCUGACAAGAUCCUCUGCAGCUACUGACCAACGGCAAGUACCUCAUAUAACCCCACUUAAAAAAAAAAAAUACAACACUGCACUAUUCCUCUAAAUUUACACUGAGCCUGUCUUGCAAGUUGUUAAUUAUAAGGAUCUUUACAUUAACUGGUAAUAUGAAUAUUAUGUGUAUAUAUGUGUGUGUGUGUGUGUGUGUUGUUCGUGCUGAGAGUGUGUUGCAUCUACAGAAAGAUUCAUCAACUUAGUUCAACUCAUUAACUCCCGAAUGAGUUUGCUUUAUCAAAAGAGCAGUUCCAUAUAUUGCAUCCACACGCACUGAUCCUUACGGAGCAACUCGACUAAAAGAAUAUCUAAUUAAAUAAUCAGGUUGCAUUUCCUCCGCAUUUGAUGCCAAGUCAUGCAUACUCUUGGCGCUGGAGGAGAUGAUUUUGAGCAUUAAAGAAAACGUACAUGUCAGUUUUCCUUUUCCUCCUCCGCCUCUCUUUCUCUCUCUAUCAUCGUCUCUUUCUGUGUUUCUUAAUGAUGCUGUUUAAAUGAAAAUAUCUUUAUAAACUCAAACUCUCCUUCGGUCAUUGUAAGAAAUAUGGACACUUAACUGAUUAUCUACCGAGGCAUAUGGUUGCUCCUGUUGCGUCUAAUUAUGCCGGAAAGAUUUCACUUCUCCUUCACACCAGAAGGAGAAGUGAAAGCUGAAGGGGAUAGAUUUUUCUUGUGAUUCAGAGCAGAACUAGUGAAAGUUUCAGGGUUGAAGUGUUGUUAUUUGUGUGAAGUUGUCCUACCUGUAGGGGAAAUAUAGAGUGUGUAGGAGUUAAAUUAUGCACUGAUGUAAAGGUCUUUGAUUUGUGCCUCUAUGUGUAUUUGUAGAUCCAACGUAUCUGACUGAUAUAAUUGCUGAAAAUUGCGUCUUACUUCAAACACCUGCUGCUAAUACACAGCUUUUUUUUAGAGUUAGGAUCAUUUUUUUCAGUAAUGUUCAGAAAUGUGAAUCAGAUUGAUUUAAAGUUUGAAAGUUAAAGUUGAUGUUCUUAACUUAUAGUUUGUUUACAUGUGGCUGUUUUUUUUUUUUUUGCAACAUAAGAGUAAAAUAAUAUUUAUGCAGAAUAUUAAACUGCUCGAUUAGCCCCACAACUAAGUUUUUAGUUUUGUUUUGCACAUGCAUUUGUGUAUAAGAACACAUAAGAAGACCGUUUUUGAGGUUGUCAUUUAGGGGCUACCCAAAAAACGUUCAUUUUUGCAAUGAAAGGUCGCCAAACUUGGACAACGAGGUGGAUACCAUCACUACACCACUUUCAGGAUUGACCGGUCAGUGUGACUGGAACGAUUAGUGUUUUAGAGUCAAUGCAAAAACUGGUGACAUCAAUAAGACAGCAGGUCAACUGAUGGUGGAUAUUUUACUGCAAUACAACAUAGUUGUUGUGUCUUUAUUCAUCUUGCAUUUAUAAGAUUAAGCAAUUUUAUUCUAAUAUCUAAUAUUAAACAAAGCUACGAGCUAAAUUAAAUAUUUUAUCACAUAAAUGUCGGCAGAAUAUUUAGCUGACAAGUGACUCUUGGAUUUAUUAUUGUUUGUAAAUAUAGCUAAAUAAAUAUUGGGUCAAAAAAGAAAAAUUCAUAUAUAAUUCCAUUAUUUUAUACAUGUUAAAGUCUUACAUGGACCGAUAUGUAGGCUCAUAACAUGUUUUGGUCAUUUAAUCAACUCAUUAUUAAAGCUCCUGCAAGGAACUUUCAAUUUGUGUCAAUUCUGGCGCCCCCCUGUGGACAAAGUCAUAUUUGUGUAUUUUGUCACCAAAAAAGUUAUAAUUAAGUUAUUUUUUGGGUGAUUUUUUCCAUUAUUUGAUUAGACAGUGUGGAAAUCUGAAGAGAUAGAGAGAGGGCAGGACAGCACAUUGUCAGCGCUGGACUCGAACCUGCAACCACUGUGAGACUGUGAUCCCUAUAUGUGGGGCAUGUUAACCUGUUUGGCAUCUUCAACAUAUUUUUAGCAAAAAAAAAAAAAAAUGCCUUUUAACAAAAAAUCUCAUCCCGCUGCCUCAUGCUUUGUCUGUCAAAUUUGUCAUUUAUUGCGAAUACUUCAUCUUGUUAUUUCGCCAAAACCUACCCCCUCACCACAGCUUCAGCCUUACAUAUUACUUUGCUAAAAAAUAUCUAUCAAGUAAAUGAUAGUCUUGUUUGCUUUUGAAUAUUAUAAAUAUGAAUUUUAGCAUAUUUUAUAGAUGAAAAAAAAAACUUCACAAGAGCUUUAAAACAAGCAGUACGCCAGGAUCUGCUGCAGAUUUCAGAGCAUAACCGCCUCUUAUGUCAGAGGCAAUAUUUACUGCAUUAUCGUAUACACCAUGACAGAGUUUGCAAUAAAUAUCAGUGACACCAGGCUCUUGAGCACCAGAUGCUGAAGAUUCAUGCAUGGAUUUGUAAGAUUAGGGGCGUGACUGAGUUGAUAACUCAUCCAAUAGACUGACAAUUUGAUGAGUUGUCAACUCAACCACCGCAGACUUAAAGCCUGUCUCGGCCGCUCCACCUCUUUGCAUGUUUGUAGGUUGAUUGAAUGUUAAUUGAAGGCAAGAGAAGGUGUGUGACCAAAGUGAGAAAUAUAGAGAUAUUUCCAGGAGAGGAAGAAAGCAGAGAUAUGUGAUUUUAGUGAGACUCUGACUCUAAAUGUCAGGUGUAAAGGUGAUCCAUGUGAAGCUCAUCCAGAUAAGAGAUGCAUGCAACACACACACACUGAUCACCCUGACAACCACACUGCGGUCUGUGAGGAUCAAACAUGUGAACAGCUGUAAUUGCCUUGUGAGUAAGCUGUUCUGAGUGUUGAAAUUUUUGUUGAGCGUUCAGUAACCUUCAGCGGGUAUCACUCUUGCGGUAAUACAGCAGGCUGACAUUCAGACGCACCCUGUCGCUGCACAAAUCUCAUUACCACAGCUGGAUUAUGUUGCUGUCUUCAUAUUGCUGGAUCUGAAAGUGUGUGGUGUUUUUUUUAUUGUCUCAUAGAGCUGAAAUCUCUCUGGAUCCCUGAUUCUUGCUGUAAGACCAGAAGCCUCAUUACCUUAUAAUCCUUUCUGAACUCUUUGGUAACCAUGCUAAUAAGGGUCAGGACCCGAUUACAGAAAAAAUACUUUCAUACAUGAACAGUUAAUUGGAAAAUAGUAUUAUAACUUCCCAAGAUCAUUAACUCUACUAACUUUGGCAACAAAGAGUGUGAGUUAACUCCACAUGUCAAUACACGCUAAAAACUAUUGGGAUAUUUCUUCAACCCAAUUCCAAGGUUAUACGCGUUGAGUGAAAUUUCUGGGUUAUUUUUCAGAUCCGUACCCAUUUCUUGGGUCAUGUGGAUUCUCUUGUAACCCAAUUUGAGGGUCUUUUGAAUGGGUUAAUAAUUAUGGGUUAUUUAUGGGUUAUAACCCAAUAAUUGGGUCAGUACGUUGGGUUCAAUCGACUGUGUGGUUUCUAGGCCCUAAUAGCAAUUAAAGUGACCUGGUGACCUUGUGAACUUUGACCUUGAUUUUAUAGACUAUAUAUAUAUAUAUAUAUAUAUAUAUAUAUAUAUAUAUAUAUAUAUAUAUAUAUAUAUAUGCGCUUGGGGUAGCUACCAGUGCUCCAACAUCCACAAACGGCAGCUGCUGUUGUGAUUAGAGAUUGAGGAGGUACAACACAAAAAUGCUACGGCAAGGGGGCGCUAGCACGCCAGGUCAGAUGGUUUUAAGUUUCCUGGUAGGUCCUUUUUUUUAAGAUUUGACACAUUUUUCACAUUAAAACAGUUAAAAGGGAGGUUUUUUUUUCUUUUACAACCUGUACCCUAUUUUCCCAUGUACUUUUAUCUAACUGAUUCCCAGUCAGUGUGAGGGAAGUUGUGAGUUACCCAACUUGGGUUGUUUUUAAACCUGGGGUUUUUAGAGUGUAUGUAGGCGGCUUUGCAACACUUUCAUACAGCUAAUGAAAUGUCAAAAGGUUAUGAUGGACAAAAGAUGGUGGGCAGUACAGCUCCCCAGAGUUAAAGCCAAAAAUCUAGGACUGACUGUGUCAACAUGCUGUCUGUUGUUAUAGUUAAUUAUUAUCAUGAUGACGUCUUUGCCAAUGUUUAUUUUUUACAGAUAGUUCAGUUUAUUUAGUUUAACAGAUUAUUUAUCAGCAUCUGAUUUGGACUCUUAUAAAUUGGUGAAUUAUAAAUAAACAGUCUUCUGGCUUCCAGGUCAAAUUCACCGCUUCAUAUCACAUUCACACACUGAUGGCAGAGACUGCCAUGUAUAUAGACGAUCAGUUUUUGAUUAAUUCCAGUCACACACCACUGAGCGCAGCCAGUAAGGGCAGGUGGGGUCAAGUUUCGCGCCCAAGGAAACCUCAGCAUGGACAGCGGGACCUGGGAUCAAACCCCUGACUUACUGAUUUGAAGACAACCUACUCUACCACUGAGCCACAGCUGCCCAUGUUGGACCGCAAGAGGGUUUUUUUUUUUGUGACUCCUGAAUUUUUACAUAAACAAGUGUGUGCAUGACUUAAUUUUAAGUUAAACUUUCAUUUUCCCCUUUGUAAGUGUUAUGGCCCUGGCCUAGGGGAACCAGGGCCGUACAUGAUUAAGUGCCCCACUCUUCCCACUCCCAAGAACCAGCCAAUGAAGAGUUUUUAGAUUCACAGAAAAGGCAGUUUUUAUUCACUUUGGAGAGGAGCGAUGCCAACACAACAAACGAAACAGCUAAAUCAAAGACCCUAACUUACCUAUAGUAAAAUAAAUGUAAAAUAAAAGACAACAGAUAACCGAACUCCUAACCCAAAAACAGGAGGAAACAAAAUGGCUUCUCCCUCCUACGUCUGCCACUAAAUCCUAAAGUAAAAUAUUCACAACUUAAAGUAUCUUCGGAUUCACAAGGCUAAGCAAAACUACAUCACAUGGUCUGCAUGGACUGGUGGUUGGAAGUGGCAAGGUCUAGAAGAGGGUCGGCUGAUGGCAUCAGGUGGUUUAAAUAGUCCUCAGCCAGCCAAUCAGCAUGCAACAAUCAUGUCACAGGUGCACAGAGCAGCAGCGCACACACACCUGCAGCUCAUCUCUCACACAAAGGCUGAUUUCCACUACAGAGGAGGGGAGGAGAGAGAGAGCUGUCAAUCAACAAAUAAACCAAACAAACUACAUAAAUGACGACAGUCAUAACAUAAGAUUUUGAGUCUGUUUUUGAUGAGACAUGUGAACCUCAGGAAGUGAAAAAAACGACAUCCAACAACAGUUUGUCUUUAACAGCCACAUUAUUAACUUUGCAGGUCUCUCCUAUUCCAGAGAAUUAUAUAAAUAAACCUGUUUAAUUUGGGUCAUGGUGAGUGUAGUACAAAGAAGCUAACGCUGUCUGUCAAGGGUAAACUGGAAAACAAACAACACUAUCCUGUGGCAAAGUCACAUGGAUUGUUGACCCAUCUACAGCGCCCAUCCCCCUGAACUCUCGCUCUAUGAACUUCACCACAACUUUAAAAGAAAUCACAGCCCUCAUUUCUUCUUCACAGACAGAAGUUUUGUAAGUGAGGCCUCUUAAGGUCAAAAAAUGCCCUUUUUUAAACAUCUUUUUGGAUGGACAGACUUUGAUAUGACUUUGGAUAAGUAAAACAUGUUUAAUUUAGGCGGCCUGACUCUUUAAGCCAUGAUUUAAACAUGAGGGAGUGGUUAAUUUGAGAAAAGCUGGUUAAUUACAAGGCAACAUCCUGAUGAUGAAACACCUAGAAAGUUUUAUUUCAUUUCUAAAUGAUGCAUUUUUAAUCACUUUUGGCCUACUGCUGUGUUUAGUUUUAAUCUUUGAAAGGCUAAUCCAAGCAAAAAGUGAUUUUCAAAACUUACAAUACUGUUGCAAUAUUAUUUUGCAUUAUAUCUUUGCGAUAAUGUGUCCCCCAGCAUUGUCUAUACGAGCCUUUCAUGCUGAAGACACGUACUGCACAGUAUGGCUCCUGAAGCAUAAUCAGAUCUUAACAUCUGCCCUGGAGUGCAGAUGUGAAAACAAGACCUCAAACCGCAGGGCUAAAGCUCCCUACUUCUGUCAACAAAACAAUGCAACAACUGGCCAGUACUAAGGGCGAUCAAUUAUUAACUUUAUCAUAGAUGAGUGUUACGUAUAUAACGGUCGAGGAGAAGGAGAGACUUGACGUAAUAAAGGGCCUGGGGCGGAAACGCAGCACUCGGGGAAGGGUCCAUGUGAGGCGCUCCUCUCAUCUACAUAAGAAUCACAGUUCUCUAAUCAUCCUGUGUGGAAAAGCAUGCUGUCGCCAGAAGCCAUGCCCAGAGAUGAGGUGUAACAUUAACACAUGAGGAGGCCAAUCUCAGUGCCAUGUGAUCAAGUAUGCCCCUGCUGGGAGAAGAGACUCUGAUUGCUGCAUAAAGAGCAUGAAACAAUACAAAUACCCAGAGGUGCUUUUGAGUCUGAUGAAUGCAGAUGAACUUGCUUUCUUGAAUAAGUUGUGUUCUUAUUUCUCUUUGUACUUAUCUGAAUCAAGACCCUCUAAACUCUCAUAUUAUAUUCACACAUCCUGUGGUUCAGGUGUCCUUUGACUCAUCUGAGUUCAUGGAUUGUUGUGGUACUCCCGGUAAGCUUGUUUUAUAGACAGAAAUGAGCACAAAUGUAUUAAUCCUUCAAUCCUAGGUUAUUAACUUUACGUUUGGAUGUUAAUGUGAAAAUCUAAUACCAAAACCUUUAACUUCUACCACACUAAGCCGAGGUGCCUAGGAUGGUUGUCAUCCUAUGUAAGGGAAAGUGUUACCGGCAAUUUCCACCGUAUCCGGAAUGGCCACAAAGAGCCUGUGUCCUCCGAUCGCAGCUGAUCGUAACCAUUUAAGUCAAUGUGUCGAUUUCCUUUCCAUUCCUGUGCGGAUUGCUGGACUCCACAGCUGAUCGCAAGAGCCCUAUUUUUUCCGGACGCCGGAGCAUGCCAGAUAAAUUCAGCACAGAUUAACCUGUGCUGGUAAGGAAGUCGGGCACAGACACAAAAUAACACAUCUGGCUUCUUUUUACUGAAAAAGAACUGAAAAUCCAGCUCUGCAGCAGCCUACUGCCUGUCGCACGGGAGCAACCAAUACUGGAACAUUACGGCCGCGGUCGGAGCAGCAAGACUUCCAUUUCAAACAUACUCUGCAAUUCCCUGUUUCCAGGGUUACUUAAUGUUAUCAAGUGGGAGUCUGCUUCCUGUACCCAGAUUUAGAUCAAAGUCUGGUAAAGGGGUCUGCAGUUACUUUAGGGUGACCAUAUGUCCUCUUUCACCUGGACAUGUCCUCUUUUUUUCGGGGCUGUUCGGGUUUGUCCAGCUUUGUCCGGGGAAGUUUAUAAAAUCCUUCAAAUGUCCGUGGCUUUGUUAUUAGGUUUUGAUUUUGUGCCAUGUGGACUUCCUUAGUUAGAAGCGUGUAAAACACGCUUGAUCUGACCCGAAAAACUCUCAAAAUUAACUUCGUGUGACUCUGUGACUCCGCACCCACGUGGUCGUGUCCUCUUUUUGGGAAGUCAGAAUGUGGUCACCAAAACUUAUUUAUUUUCCAAAGUUACUCUGUGAGUGUUUUAAUCUAACACGGUGUGGUUGGUUGCAUGUGGAGUGUUACUUUUCUGUGUUUUUAUUGUCUUUAUGCUUUAAUGUUUGGUUGCUACGUGGUGUGAUGGAACACAAACAACUCGAGCAUGAAGCAAUACCUGUAAAAUACCGGAUAUAAUAUGUUUGGAUUAAAUCUCUCGCUGGACUUGGAUUCUGAAGACUCUCUGAGAACCUUUGAACAGGUUUUAACUUUAAUAUUGGUGUUAGCUUUCAUUACAUUUGAACAGAGUUAGCGAAUUAACCUUUUUUAAUGCAGUUACAUUUCAACGUAACUGUACCCGCCUCUACCUAACACUUAAACAGACUUUAUAAAUACGGUAUGUGAGUUGUGGUCUGGACUUUGAUCAAACAUUAAGAGCAAAUGAACAAAUGUUUUAAAAAUGAGAAUGAAUCAGAGAAAAGCUUAAGAAUUUAAUAACUAAAGUAAUUACCUCUGGCAAUAAAUCCCCUCUGCUAAGCCCAUUGUGUGUUCAAUAUUAAAGGUAAAUAAAGUCAAGUCAUGGUAUUUUAAGUACAGUGGGUAAAUCCCUGAACAAUAACAUAAAGUAACAAAUGACGUCUUUUUGAAGGGGUUUAGGGCCUUGCUGUAUGAUAAUAUCAUGAUGCGAUCUGACACAAGAGUAAACAGGACAUUAAAAGGUCACCAGAGUUCAACUGUAUUUUUAGACGGCUAUGCUGGAAGGCAGGGCAAAAAGUGAGGGACAGGAUACAGAAAAAAAAUUUAAAUGGGUCACACAAUUACAGCAUCUCCUCGCAGGCGUACAUUGGGUUGUACAUGUUUAUACAUGCAGGAAGUUCAGUGUCUGUGUAACAAAGUUGGAAAAGCUCAAAGAAAUUUGAACCUGGGUUACCUUCAAGCAGUCACCCCUGUCUAAAGUAUGUGUUUGCCUAUGUUUGGUAUGUUUUGCACGCAUUCAGGAUAGUCCUAGACACCCCCCUUUGGCACUGAGGUAACUCUAGAUGCAAAGAAAGAUGUAUAUUUGCUGAAAAGAUGAAUAAAAGAUUGAUGGAAUUAACAAUCACUAUGGUUUGUGAUCUAAAUCUUUGCCUUAAGACACCAAAAUAUCUGAAAACAGCGUGAUGUUUCCCAGUGAUCUCUUCAUUUUUCAAAGCAGCUUUCCCUUCGACUGAACAAACACCAGCUUGAGAAGAAUAAUACAUCAUUUUUCAACAUUGAAGUUUCACUAAAAAUACAAAUGAAGUUCAUAUCUUUCUGUGAUUUAAGUGUUUUAUUUUCAGAUGGAUCUGGUGCUGAUCCGUUCUGCACACAGUCUUGGUCUAAAGAGGUGAGAGCAGGUGAUGAGAGUUGGGUGCAUUACACCGAGGAAUGACUUUGGAAAAGGAACAACAAAAAGUGACAUGGAAACGGCCGCCUCUAACAUUUGUCCUCUGCAAAUGUUAGAGUCCCUUGCUGAACCCGACGGCAUCAAACAAGUCACCUUAUCACGACCUGUAAUUGAAGUCCCAGUUAUUGGUCAAACGUUGACAUUUUGAAAGCAGCCAGAAAAUCCCCAAAGUUUCAUCUGCUGGAUGGAAACACAGUGGACGGAGAAGAGCAGAUUCAAACAUAUUCUGAACAGGGGAUCUGAACACACAAGUCAAUGAUGAACAAAGAUCCACUGGGAUGAAUCAAAAACAAUUACAGGAGAUUGAGAUGGCGUUGGUCCUAUUUGAACUGGUGGACUCGUUUUAUGAAGUGAAAAACAGGCCGGGACAGAAACCUCUGAAACCAAAUUUAUCACAGAGAUACUGUGAUUGUCAGAGCCACAUGUUGUACCAAAUACCCCUCUUCUGGCAGCACAUUAAAUUUCUAUUUUCACACUGUCAUUUCAUUCAAAGUCACCAUCAUCUGAACAGAAAAAUCAAAGUCUAACUUGGCCAGUGCUAGCUUUUCUUUCAACAUUUUUUUAUCAAAUGUCAGUCUGUUUUAUAACUCCUCACAAGUGCUUCAAUGUAUUUAUUUAGGAACUCCUCUUGGCUCUGUUCUUAACU